AGUCAUAUGGGUGUUAAGUCUAUGGGUUUGGAAUCUGUCACUGAAAUCACUCAUUCAAAAGUAUGACUUCAUAGUAGGGUCACUUAGGUUUGUUUUUUACAUAAAAUACAUCUGAUAUUUCUUACUUAGGAAGUUUUACUAUGUCCAUUAAAAUGAUUAAAUGGGGAGGCCAUCAAGAUUCAUUUAGUAGCUGAAAAGCAGGUCUAACUGUGAAAACGUGAAGACUUGGAAUUAUCAGCAACCUUUAUGUGCAAUAAAGAAAACUGGAGUUAGGCCCCCAAUGUGUUCCCUCUCCCUAGCAUUUUACUUAAUGUUUGCCUUUGUGUAUAUGUUUAGAUUGAUAUUGUAAAGCUAGCUACAUGUUUUCCUGCCCUUUACUGAUAUUUAACACAUUUUUCUCAAAGCCUUUUUCUUUUCUUUCCUUUUUUUUUUUAAACAAAAAUCAAAAUAAAAAGAUUAACUGGCUGAGCUCAUCUUGUUUCAUACUUUUAAAAGUAUUGUCCAUUAGUAGAAGAAUGCAGUAUGGGCCUGUUCUUAGUUUGUUUCUUUCCCACACAGAGAGGUUCUGUUCUGGGUGGAAGCUAUUCCUCUCCAACUUCAUUUAAAA
rnacentral:lncRNA from 1 species